rnacentral:rRNA from 1 species
GCAAGGGGUACACGAGCGGCGUAAGGGACAGUAAUGUGUAGGUACGUACCUCCGGGCCUGGGAUAGCUGCGGGAAACUGCAAUUAAUACCAGAUAACGUCUCCGGACCAAAGGUGUGAUUCCGCCGGGAGAGCGGCCUACAUCCUAUUAGCUAGUUGGCGGGGUAACGGCCCACCAAGGCUCAGAUGGGUAGCAGGUGUGAGAGCACGACCUGCGUCACUGGGACUGAGACACUGCCCAGACACCUACGGGUGGCUGCAGUCGAGAAUCUUCGGCAAUGAGCGCAAGCUUGACCGAGCGACGCCGCGUGCGGGAUGAAGGCCUUCGGGUUGUAAACCGCUGUCAGAGGGGACGAAGUGCUAGUGGGUACUCUCAUUAGCUUGACUGAUCCUCAAAGGAAGGGUGGGCUAAGUUCGUGCCAGCAGCCGCGGUAAGACGUACCACCCGAACGUUAUUCGGAUUUACUGGGCUUAAAGAGUCCGUAGGCGGCCAAGUAAGUUGGAUGUGAAAUACCUCGGCCUAACCGAGGAACAGCAUUCAAAACUACUUGGCUCGAGAGAGACAGAGGUGAGCGGAACUGAUGGUGGAGCGGUGAAAUGCGUUGAUAUCAUCAGGAACACCGGUGGCGAAAGCGGCUCACUGGGUCUCUUCUGACGCUCAGGGACGAAAGCUAGGGGGAGCGAACGGGAUUAGAUACCCCGGUAGUCCUAGCCUUAAACGAUGAGCACUAGAUCGUAGGGGACCUCCACAUCCUUUCGGUCGUAGGGAAACUGUUAAGUGCUCCGCCUGGGGAGUAUGGUCGCAAGGCUG